GAACUGAUUAGAAGCUUGCUUCUAUGACGUUAGCGGCGGACGGGUGAGUAACACGUGGGCAACCUGCCUGUAAGACUGGGAUAACUUCGGGAAACCGAAGCUAAUACCGGAUAGGAUCUUCUCCUUCAUGGGAGAUGAUUGAAAGAUGGUUUCGGCUAUCACUUACAGAUGGGCCCGCGGUGCAUUAGCUAGUUGGUGAGGUAACGGCUCACCAAGGCAACGAUGCAUAGCCGACCUGAGAGGGUGAUCGGCCACACUGGGACUGAGACACGGCCCAGACUCCUACGGGAGGCAGCAGUAGGGAAUCUUCCGCAAUGGACGAAAGUCUGACGGAGCAACGCCGCGUGAGUGAUGAAGGCUUUCGGGUCGUAAAACUCUGUUGUUAGGGAAGAACAAGUACAAGAGUAACUGCUCGUACCUUGACGGUACCUAACCAGAAAGCCACGGCUAACUACGUGCCAGCAGCCGCGGUAAUACGUAGGUGGCAAGCGUUAUCCGGAAUUAUUGGGCGUAAAGCGCGCGCAGGCGGUUUCUUAAGUCUGAUGUGAAAGCCCACGGCUCAACCGUGGAGGGUCAUUGGAAACUGGGGAACUUGAGUGCAGAAGAGAAAAGCGGAAUUCCACGUGUAGCGGUGAAAUGCGUAGAGAUGUGGAGGAACACCAGUGGCGAAG
rnacentral:rRNA from 1 species